AGUGAACGCUGGCGGUAGGCCUAACACAUGCAAGUCGAACGGCAGCACAGUAAGAGCUUGCUCUUACGGGUGGCGAGUGGCGGACGGGUGAGGAAUACAUCGGAAUCUACUUUUUCGGGGGGGAUAACGUAGGGAAACUUACGCUAAUACCGCAUACGACCUACGGGUGAAAGCAUGGGAUCUUCGGACCUUGCGCGAAUGAAUGAGCCGAUGUGGGAUUAGCUAGUUGGCGGGGUAAAGGCCCACCAAGGCGACGAUCCGUAGCUGGUCUGAGAGGAUGAUCAGCCACACUGGAACUGAGACACGGUCCAGACUCCUACGGGAGGCAGCAGUGGGGAAUAUUGGACAAUGGGCGCAAGCCUGAUCCAGCCAUACCGCGUGGGUGAAGAAGGCCUUCGGGUUGUAAAGCCCUUUUGUUGGGAAAGAAAAGCAGCAGGUUAAUACCCCGCUGUUCUGACGGUACCCAAAGAAUAAGCACCGGCUAACUUCGUG
rnacentral:rRNA from 1 species